rnacentral:tRNA from 1 species
GCGGCAUUAGCUCAAUUGGUAGAGCAACUGACUCUUAAUCAGUGGGUUCCGGGUUCAAGUCCCAGAUGCCGUA